AGUGAACGCUGGCGGUAGGCCUAACACAUGCAAGUCGAACGGCAGCACAGUAAGAGCUUGCUCUUACGGGUGGCGAGUGGCGGCCGGGUGCGGAUUACACCGGCAUCUAACUUUUCGUGGGGGCUAACGUAGGGAAACUUACGCUCAUACCGCAUACGACCUACGGGUUUAAGCCGGUGAUCUUCGCACCUCGCGCGAUUGAAUGAGUCGAUGCCGGAUUAGCUAGUUGGCGGGGUAAAGGCCCACCAAGGCGACGAUCCGUAGCUGGUCUGAGAGGAUGAUCAGCCACACUGGAACUGAGACACGGUCCAGACUCCUACGGGAGGCAGCAGUGGGGAAUAUUGGACAAUGGGCGCAAGCCUGAUCCAGCCAUACCGCGUGGGUGGAGAAGGCCUUCGGGUUGGAAAGCCCUUUUGUUGGGAAAGAAAAGCAGCAGGUUAAUACCCCGCUGUUCUGACGGUACCCAAAGAAUAAGCACCGGCUAACUUCGUG
rnacentral:rRNA from 1 species